GUGAGACAAAAAGAAGGCCUAGGAUAAAAUGCAAGGAACACCAACACUGAGGAGACAGGAUCACAGGAACCAGAACCCAAGAAAUGUGAAUGUUUUGUGAAGAAGAAAGUGUUCAGUAUCAAAUGCUAUUGAGAAGAUAAAGACUGAAUAGAAUCAAUUGGAUUUUGUUUCAGGGGAAAAUAUGUUCCGUGGAGUAGAGGGGGUGGAAAUCAUCUUGCAAAGUGUGGGAGAUAAGGAAGUGUAAAUGCAUUUUUCCAUAAUUUUGACAGUCUAAUCAAAGGCAAUGAGUUCUUUGUGCAGAUUUUUCAACUCUGCCACAUAGAAAGCUUCAGUUAUGUAUAGGUCAUAGCACAUUUAAUUUUUAACAUUGGUAUGACUUAUUCCUAUAGCAGGAAGACUGCCUUGAAGAAACAGAAUCUGCUAUAAGAAUACUAUCAGGAAAGAAUGGUCAAGUCAGGUGAAACCGCUGCUGUUGUAUGACUUACUACAGUGUCCAGUGAUGACCCACUAUGAGAUUAAGAUUUCACUCAUAUAAACUAUCUACAUGGCUGAUAUAAUCGUGUACCUGGACUAUCUGCGGCUGCCUUUUCCAGCACCUUCCUGUGGACCGCUCCAGGGCACUCUCUAGAAGCCAGAAUGGACUCCUGCUGAUUCUCUCGCAUAUUUGUCUUGAAUGAAAGAAUGGCGUAUGCCAGUGGAUUUCAAAGCUUCUCACAAAACAUCUUCACAUCUGAAGUCUCAAGAGUUUAUGUCAAGCAUUUGUAUUACUUACAACUAAUUAAAUAUACCAUUCCUGUUUUACAACAUGAACACAUCUGCUGAUAACGUUGUAACUUGUAUUAUUAUUAUUUGUUUGAAGCAAUACAUUAAUAAAUGACUGGUCAGUAAUAUAAUACUAAUAUCUUGACCUAUUUAGAAUAGACAUUAAUUAUCACAUGUAUAGAAAAUAGUGUGAUUUUAAAUAUUUUUUUCACAAAAAAUAAUUUGGAAGCAUGUUAAAGUGCCUUAUUUCCAUAUUAUUUAUUUACGUGAUUUGGAGAAUAUUGUUUAAAGUUUUAUUUUACAAGACUAAGCAGACUGUCAAAAAAGGUAGAUUAUGAAUAUUAAAGAAAAGGCAAGAGAGUUGGCAUUUAGAAGUUAAUUGUAGUGAUUUGUUGAGGUUAUCUAAGGGAAAAUACCUGAUGACCCCAUUAUUGGAUUUGAAUAUAAAAAUGCUGGAUGCAUGAUAUGUGGCAGCCUGAGAUCUAUUCUUCUUAUCAGAGAGAUAUAAAAUUACCUAGAUUUAACUGAAGGCAGCUGUCAAACUCUGUAAAAGAACUGAUAUUCUUCAGAGGAGUGCAAAUUCUAUGUCAAAGACACAAAACAGAUUCUUAUUGCUUAAUAAUCUCCCACAGUUCAAUAGUGACAGAAAUUGGUUUCCUUUUUGCCCCCUACCCCUACUGUCUUAUUUCUACAAUUUUCUCUACAGUUACCAGUUUUGGGAUGACUGAUUCUGGUGUUUACUCUAUGAUCACUUGAUCAAUGGAGACCUGCCCAUCCUGCUUCUGACUAUCGUGAUGUCAUAGUAGAGCUGCUUUAGAUGAAUCCGAAGUACUCACUCCUUCCUCCAAUUUCUUCUUAUCUGGUUUAAGAAAACAGUAACUUAUUUUUGGCAGAGUCUAUCAAAAAUGAGAGGAAUUGUCUAUAGUAUAAUUUUAGUUUGAGUACAGAGAAUAAUAAAAAAUAUUGCUAAAAUAAAAUCUGAUUUAUCUAAGUAUCAACUCUAUUUAACUUUUUCUUUAAUAACGUAGCUAUUUUAUGCUGCAUAAAGCAGAAUACAGGUUCCAGUGCUCGUUUGGCCACUUAGAACCUCAUCUUCUUUAUCUAUAAAAUGGAAAUACAAAAACUGUGUUGGGUUUAAUAGGGAAAAUAAAAUAAUGUACAGGAGAAUAUCAUAUAAUGUUUUAUAG